UCCAGGAAACAGAUGUGGCCUGAUAAGAGAGGAGGAUGUCAUAUUGUGUGUAGGGUUUCUUUCAUAGUGUGUGUUUUCCUAUUGUCAAUAUGAUGCGUGUUCUUCCACUUCCAGCUGCUUCCCCCCUGUUUCAUUUGACCUCAGGGACAAUCGGCUGGGAACAACACUGGUAGCCUGGUGCUGACACGGGGGUCAACAUCUCUGGACUCUGCACAGCAGAAUAAUAUGGACGUACAGUGUACCACAGCAAUGUAAUCCAUCCUCAUCCCAAAAGACUCAGGACUCUGCUAAGCUUGUACAAAACUACAGUGCUGUAUGUUAUGUGAAUAGUAUAGAUGUGAAGAAAUGGAAAUGUGCAACUUCCUCUCUGCAAGAAGAACUUUCCCUCGGUGAUGCGGACUUGGUCAAAGAUAUUCCUCUGUAAAAUUCAUGAAUUCUUAACUUUGGAGGGUAUAUUUCACUACUGAUCUAUUGGACCGUGAUAAGAAUUCAAAGGUGAAUGGAGCUGGAGGACAUCUUCAAAGAUGGUCGAGAACACCACAGGAAAGCCAAUGAGACUUGAUUAUCAAAGAUGACUGACCUGAGCAGCAUGUGUCAGUCCAGGCAAAUAACCCCUAAAGACAAGGACACAAUCAGAGCAUGUUGGCUCGAGUGGAGUUGACAGUGGUAAGCUUCUGGAGGUGAUAAAGGCCUUUGAACCUAAAAGCUGCUUGAGGACCCCCCUUUGUGCCCUUCCAAGUCCCCUUUGAGACAGGCCGUGGAGGCUUCCACUUUGAUUUUGGGAGUUGCAACCCCAAGACAGUUGCCUUCAUCUCAGUAGGACAGUGAGGUGCAAACAGAGACAGAGAAAUAUCUAUUAUGAGAUUGUAGUGGACACUCACUAUCAGGUCAAAAUGUUUGACCUUAAAAAAAGUACUUGAAAUGCUGGAAAUAAAUCAAUGCAUUAAUAUUCUGAACAUGUAUAUAAUAAUGACGCCAUCAAAUAUAGUUAAUCACCCAGCACGUUUACACAGCGUUAGACCCAGUUUUCAGCCUCACUUAAAACAUUGAUAGGUAAAAUUGUUAAGUGUCUUGGUGAUGUAAAAUAUUGAACACUGUGACACUUUUGCUGUUCAGCUCUUUAUUAGAGAACAGCCAGUUGUGCAAAAAGUGCUUAAACAUUGAACAGUUGAACUUUCAAGUUUAGAGAGUGUCAAAUUAAGUUCACCUGGACAGGUUAGAGUGCAUUUUAGGUUCAUCCUGAAAUUUCACCUGAAAGUGGAAUACCCCUAAACCUUUUGUGAGUAUAGUGCAUACUGUAUCUUUGUCGAGCUACAGUGGUAGCUUGACUUAAACUUUACAUGUAAACAUAGUGUCUUUUAAGGUGGCAGUAUCCCUUUUUCAAAUCACGUUGAAGUCACCAUCAUAGCAGUUUGUGUUUGCAAGACCUCAUAGUAGCGUGUCAUUCAGAGCUCGCCUUUAACACCGGAUUGUUGCUGAAACCUUGAUACACCCUCAUCGCCAUGACAGGGAAACUAUGUUUCAUUAUUGGAAAUGUUUGUUUUUUUUUUCACAUGGAAGGACUCCCUGAGAGAGGUGCACAGUAAGGUUAUGGAACAAAAGAUGUCCCUGCUCAAGUGUUAGGAGCAGUUCAUGCAAUGUCUGCCUGGAAAGAACAAUGUCAAUGUUGGCACUCAUGAUAGAUGAAGCUCCGACUCAUUACUCUGAGACUUUGGAAAAAGACAGACAGACGUAUCCCUAACCCUUCUACCAAAUUUUAUGACACUAUUAGGUACGGUAGAUCUGAUUAGAUGUAGUUAAUAAAACAGAACUCUAUAGAGUGGACCUGUAUAUAUUGUAAGCCACACUCAGCAAAUAAACAAAAAAUAAUAAAAUAAAAAAAUCUGAACUGCUUUAUAAGCCGCACAUAUUCCCCUCUCUAGUGUGCAUGCCUUAGCCUGAUGGUGACCGUACUGUGACAAAGGUAGAAAUGAUUGAUGAUGUCAAAAGUACAAAGUCAGCAGACUAAACUACAGCUAAACUCUUAACAGUUUUAAUUGUUUCCAAGCAGCAGAGAAAAUAUAGUGAUGUUGGAUUUUCUAUUUGUUUGCGUUACUGCUUUGUUUAUGCAAAAGUAAGUUAGUUGUUUCAUAGUUUAAAAAGACUCCCAUAAAAAUGUUCCUGUAAUUCCUGUAAUUCAAUUAAAUAAUUUCCCAUUAUGUGUUAGCAUUAAGCUAGCGGCACUAUGUUAGGUUAAUGAUAAUGGCAGUGACACAAAAUGCAUACAAAUAUGUGGGAAAACAAAUGGCCAACCCUAGGAAAUAGAAACAGCACAAAGAAACACUGAGGCGAAUAUAUUGCUAGUGCCAAAAUAUGCACAACAAAAUUAGUACUGAUAUGUCCCAUUUUUGGCAUGAUG